rnacentral:rRNA from 1 species
GACGAACCGUGCGAACGUUGUUCGGAAUCACUGGGCUUAAAGGGCGCGUAGGCGGACUUGCAAGUCUGCGGUGAAAGCCUCCAGCUCAACUGGAGAAGUGCCGUGGAUACUGCGGGUCUCGAGGAGGGUAGGGGCAUCUGGAACGUUGGGUGGAGCGGUGAAAUGCGUUGAUAUCCAACGGAACUCCGGUGGCGAAGGCGAGGUGCUGGACCCUUCUGACGCUGAGGCGCGAAAGCCAGGGAGCGAACGG